rnacentral:rRNA from 1 species
CCUACGGGAGGCAGCAGUGAGGAAUAUUGGUCAAUGGUCGGGAGACUGAACCAGCCAAGCCGCGUGAGGGAUGAAGGUACAGAGUAUCGUAAACCUCUUUUGUCAGGGAACAAAGGCGGGGACGCGUCCCCGGAUGAGUGUACAUGAAGAAAAAGCAUCGGCUAACUCCGUGCCAGCAGCCGCGGUAAUACGGAGGAUGCGAGCGUUAUUCGGAGUUAUUGGGAUUAAAGGGGGCGCAGGCGGUCCGUUAAGUCCGCUGUCAAAGCCCCGGGCUCAAGCCCGGACCGGCGUUUGAUACUGGCAGUCUCGAGUUGGAGAGAGGUGUGCAGAAUGCGCGGUGUAGCGGUGAAAUGCAUAGAUAUCGCGCGGAACUCCGAUGGCGAAGGCAGCACGCCGGCUCCACACUGACGCUGAGGCGCGAAAGCGUGGGUAUCGAACAGGAUUAGAUACCCUAGUAGUC